UUGAUCGACUGAAAACUUGUUAAUAUAUGUGAAAUAAUAUUAAUUUUCAUAAAAAAACAUUUAUAUGAAUUGAAUUUAUAUUAAAAACAUUUGUACAGUAAAAUGAUAAUCGGACAUCCUAGGGACUUUGGCAGUACAAUGUUGUCAAAUAUGGCGGGUUAUAAAACUGUAGUUCUAAUACAAAAAGUAAUAAUAAUAAGUAAUAAUAAGUAAUAAUAAAUAUUAACAUAAUAAUGCAGUUUAUUAACAAAAAAGAAUAAUGCAUAUAAUAUACACAUAUGCAAAUAAUAUGUAAAUAUAUUCAUACGAAAUAGAAAUCGUAAUUAGAGAAUAAUGUUCAUAAAACAUGAUUAUGAUUAGAAUUAUGCAUAUCGGAUUAUUAGAUGUACCAUAUAUUAUUGUAUGUUGAAAUUUUAUUGUAUAUAUAAUGAAUUCAUAGAAAGCUGAACAAAUUUAGCUUAUCUUUAAAUUAAAAAAAAUAUAAAUUUCUAAACAUCUCGGUAUAAAGAUUAUCUACUAUUUUUAUACUAAACGUUACAUUACAACCAAUCGAAAGAAACUAUUUCAAGAAAAUAAUUUAUCAAUUUUCGUUUCCGUUAAACUAGCACACGAUCAGGGAAACGUAUUCUUAAACGGGACCGAUCGGAGCGGAAACACGUGUCCCCGGCUGUUUUUCAAAUGAGGUCAGAGGAAAUUUCUGCCGUCGGCCUUGAAAGUGCACUUGAUUCGCGAGCGCGUGCCUCGUAAACGCACAAGGCAACACGCGCGAGAAAGCUCCGGAUACUCGUGGCGCGUGUUCAGAGACGUUCCGUCAUUCGUUCGGCUCGGUCGCUCUUUCGAUUUCUCGACGUCAGCCACGUUUAUACGCACACGCGUAUAUGCAGCCAACAACGAUCCACGCGUGCACACGCCAGUGCCGUGCAUUAGACGAUUGCAACGUUGCCUGACGUGCCGCGCUGUAUCGUACGCGUUGUUGCCAAGCCAUCGGAUUAACCGGCAUUCCCAUAGAACCAUGCGAGUGCGCGCUCUCAGCCUUCGAACUUCGCGACUCUGCGAACCAUCGAACGGAUCGCAUUUCGAAUUUUCUCUUGCUCGUUAAGUACGUCGUUCGAUCUUUUUAUUCCUUGUACAUUGCCACUUUAACGGGAUUAUAUAUAUUCCAUUCGAUUUGAUCCGGAUUCGUUCUCGAAGGCAUAGCGUUUUACGAAGAAACAGUAUCACGGUAAAUCGAAGUAAUGAAAUGCCGUCAUGGGUCUCGAAACAACUCCAAGGAUCAAGCAAGGGUAGGUCAGUGCGUUGGGUAAGAGGAAACGCACACACUCUCCCAUCUUUCUGAACACGUCAUACGAUCUUAAUUACAUAGCUUGCAAACGAUACAGGUAAUACAUUUACUUUGUAAUGGAGAAAGGAAUAAAUAAUCAAUUUGAUUAUAUUUUGUGCUUAAUUUAUCACAUUUUUAAUUACAUUAUUAUUUGUGAAAGAUGUUAAAUUAUUACUUUUAAUUAUAAUAUAAAAUAUAUUUAAUUCCACGUACAUUUAUUUUAUGAUUUAUAAUUGAUAAAAAAAAGUAUACGAAAGAAUCUUUGUAGAAUUUAAAAAUACAGAUAUUCCGCAACAUAUUAAGGUAAUGACAAAAUCCUAGAAUUCUUAAGCUUAGCGAUAACUUAUCGCAAUUUACGUACGUGCAAGUGUUUGUUUACUUUUUGAACGAAUGGUAAGGCAUUGAGAAAAUUAUCACUAGUUAUUUCGGAUUAUUUUAACCUUUGGAUGACCUCGAUUUAUAUGACUGUCAAAGUUGUUGAGAAACUUCUGUUUUCACCAAAAUAUAUAUAUCUAAAUACAUAUAUGAUAGAUACAAAAAUCUUAAAAAUAUAUAAUUUUCUAUGACACACUAAGCUAUAUCUACUGUUAAACAAACUGAGUAAAAAUAAUUCUGAAUCUACGAGAUAAUGAUAAAGAUAACUCUAAACAAUCUCAAAUUUAUAGGAUCAAAAAAAAAAAAGACAUUUCAAAUCGAAAUUUAAUAAAAUUAAUUAUAUAUAAUAAAAUAUCCUAUCUGAUACAUAUAAAAUAAAAGAAUAAAUUAGACCUAAUUCUACAUUCCUAAGAAACAUAUAAAGAUGUUUAAUUUUUUUUAAAAGUUAAAAUACUAGAUAAUAUUAACUAUUAUAAUAUUUUAACUAAAAGAGACAAUGCAAUGGAAAUGAUUUCACUCUGAUCUAUAAGAUUCAAUAUAAACAAUUCUAAAUAUAUAAUACUAAUAAAUAAUAAUAUUUAUUAAAAUCAUAAUAAAGAACAAGAAAUAUGGUCAAAAAAAUAUGCAAGCGUAAUAUUUCAAGCAAAAGAUAUUGCAUCACAGUGACAUAAAAACUUGAAAUAGGAAUGAGAAAAAGAAGAGAUUGUAACACGUCAUCAAAUCUGCGAGACGAGCAAGUCUUGGUCAAGGCAGGUCAAGUCAUGUCUAAACUUGACACUCUGAUCGUGAUUGCAAUCGAGGGAGCAGAUCAGAUUGAAUCGUGGAGGCCAUAUACGUGGCCUUGAACCAUGAACACGACCGUGACUUUAUCGAAAUAGAAAAUAUGGAUUGCUCCGGUAUUCCUGACUGUUUUCUGGCACACUCGCCUUUCCAUGCGCCACAUCUCUGUUUCCCAUUCGUUCUCGCUUUAACGAUGUUUGCCUCGACGAAGGAAGCUAACAUGCGUCGAAUACUUACAACUUGUCUUGCAAAAGUCUGAACCAGAAGACUUAUAAAAUGUUUAAAAAUAUAUCUAAUCAAAGAUAAAAAGAUAAAAAUAAAAAAGUAAAUAUUUCAAUUUGAAGAAUAUUUCAUUUCAACUUUAAUAUGAAAUCAAUAUCCAAUUCUAAUUGAUAAAUGUAGAAACAAAAGUGAAAAUACGUUUUUUUACAAUAUAAUCACUUCAAAUGAUAAAUGAUCAAAGACCAAUGCAAUCGUAGUUAAAAAGAAACAAAACUGUAAAAUGUUACCAUUUAACCAAAUCGUUAUUAUUAUUAUGAAAAGUUUUCUGAAGAAGAAAAUAUUUCUUACCUUGUGUUUGUAUUACGUUUCUUUUACGUGUAAAUAUAUAUAAACUUUAUUAUAUAUUUAUUCUGUACUUAAAGAGAAGAAAUGAAAAAUCGUUUUUUAAUGACUGGUCAAUUUAUAAUUAAUCACUACUUGUAAUAUUAAAUUUGUAACAUCAACAUGAACAAAAAGUGUUUAAUUAUUAAAUUUUCAAAGUAAAAUCUUCAAAGAAAAUUAAUUAUUACAUCGUACUCGUACGUACUAAAACUGAUGAUAAUGCUUCAUACGAUGUAAUGAGCCCUAUUAUUUACAUAAAGUACUUAGAAGAGCCUCGUGUUCAUGGUCUACGGAAGAAAAAAAGUGUCGUAUAUACAAUACGAGAAGGUGAAGAAAAACAACGAUGUCGGAAAAAGUAUAAGAAUUAUUAAAAAAAAGAGAAGAAAAGCAUAUGACCAUAAGGCAGAAACGGGUUAUAGAUAUUCAGGUCAAACGGCCUACAAAGCGUGUGAGUAUUUCUUUCACGUUUACUUAUCAAUUGCAUGAUAGUCUAUACACGAUGAAUGUAAAGUUAUGUGUUACCCACGUAUCUACGUACCGUGAAUAAUGAUUUUUAAAUCUCUCACGAAACAUAGUAACGCUAGAAUAUUGAUUGAAAAAGAAAGAAUCGAUUUAUCGAAAGCAAAACGGAAACAUAGAGAUAGUUUACGUGUUAUCCGUCUUAUAUGUAAAUUUCUUGCCGAAACUUUCAUUUCGAAUCGAUCCAAGGUGAUGAAAAGAAUAGAUUAGAGUUUCGUUGUCAUAGAUUAAGAUUCUUUAAAAAAUCUAUCGAAUUAAAUAAAAUUAUUUAUAUAACAAUUCUCGUUAGUACGUAAUGUGCUCAGAAUUGCUCUUGAACUCUCGUUAUAAUUCUCGAAAGUACUUUCAAAUAUAUUUUUACAAAAAAAAAAAGGUAUCUAAGUUUUCUAUUCUUCACUGGUGGAUAUCGAGAAUGAAAGUUCUCAUCCUAUCGCGAGAGUUUUUAAUCUCAAGUGAAUACACAUAAUUUCAUAAGUUAAUAUGAAAAUUUAUAAAAGGGAAGAAAUGAUUCCAAUGUUUUGUACAACGAAUAAUCGGUAAAUUCAAUGGGAAAACAAACAAAUUUUGUUUUGCUGCCUUAUAGAUUCUCGAACCGGGAUCGAUUCGUUGUACGUUCAUUAUUUGCCCUCGUAAUUUUACGUGUGUUUCCUUCGUUCCGUACAACUCUCUAGUUUAUCGUAAUCAUUUCACCCGUUCAUAACAGGCAUAUUUAUGCUGCAAUUAACUCUCGUUAGCGGAAAGCCCAUCAAGUACAUGACUACGCCGGUAUAUCAGCCACACUACACCGCGGGCUGAUUUCGUUAUGCCGUUGAAACGUGCUGCCGCAAUCCUCUACACGGAAUUAACAAUGCAACCCUUUCCCGGCUACGGCCUCAAUGACCUAUACUUAAGCACCUUGUUAUUGUUAUUACCUAAGAGUAAUUAUCCAAUAAAGCGUGUGGAGAUAGAUUUUUAUAAAACUGUUCCACGAUGGAAACUUACGUGGUUUCCCGUGAAACGGGCGAGAAGAAACUUGGCGGAAACUUUUCAACAUUGUUGCCCGUAACGAUCUCUCUGUAAAUAAUAAUUGCAACCAGUUUCUCGCCACCGCUCUCCUCCGUUUCUUGAACAAAAACGAAGGAAGAAAAAAAGAAGGGAAAAGAAAAAGGAAAAGAGGGAAAAAACAGAUUGUUGGUUAAAUAAUUACGGGAAGUUGUAUAUUUCUUUUAACACGAAGAAGCUUAACAGAGAGGCGACAGAACGCGAACAACGAUCAUCCGUUUGAAAGGGCUCGAACUCACGGAAAAAUAAACAGACCGUCAUAUUUCUACGUUCACGGAUCUUUACUCGGCUUUCCAACCCGUUCAACGGAGUGGUUAAUCGGGAUCUAACGCUAUUUUUGUCGUUGUCGAAUCAAAAGGAUCUUUAGAUCGGCCCCGUGAGAAUUAAUCAACGACUCUCACCGAGUUUUAUCGUUAGUAAUCUCGAUCUUUUACCGAGAAAUCCAUAAAUAAUUUAUCAACGAAUGCGAUAAAUUAUCCGAUCCUUCGCACGAUUUUCCUAAUUACCGUUUCGUUAACAUUUUCACCCGUGAUUCGAGAAAUGUAUAAUCCAAACGAUAUGAUUGAUUCGAUCGUAUAAUUAACCUAACGUAUAGUGGAGGAGAUCGAAAUCCGAUUUGAUUAACAAUGAUUGUUUCAGGCGCGUUGAAAACAUGCAUAGUUGAAAAGGAGGGAAUUGUAGUGGAGGAACUAAUAAAGGAGAGGAAAUAGAAACAGGGAGAAAAGAAAGAACAAGCGUGUGCUUAGCAUUGACUAACCCCAUUUGGUAGCGAAGCGAGAGAAAUCCAUUCCAAGGCGCGGAACAUUACCCAAACCAUCGGCCGGGGCCCUGAAACCCAGCCAUGGUUGCCAUGGUGACCGCGUCCAUCCCCCUCUUCCUACUUGCCUCGUACAACCCUCCGUAGCCCAUUUUCCACCCCUUGCUCUGCCGACGCCCACACUACCGCCAUCAGCACCACCACCACUACCACCAACCACCCACCACCAAUGUCCAUCCCCUAUCCCUCCUUCGUGUUUGCCACCCCUUCCUUCUUCAAAGAUCUUUUUUUUCAUUUUUCCACUGCUCCAUGUCCUUGGGAUACGAAGACAACGUUCGAAACCUGUGUCGAUUAAUGUUAUCGCCUUAAGGUAUCACCUUGCUGUUAUAUUGAUAACUUUAUUUGAGGAUAUAUACAAGCAAUGGAUAUUUUUUAUUAUUCUUGAAUUCUUAUAAUCGAUAUCCGAUAUUCGAAUCUGCACAUCCAAGUAUUCGUAAAUUAAAUUUCAAUUUUCUUUUGAAAACCGAAAUGAAACAUUUCUUUCUAUUGUUUUUUUUUAAUUCAAAUUAAGGAGACUGAAUCGAAGUAAAUUUGUUAAUACAGUGGAACCUCCAUUAAUCGGGAUCUUGAUUAUCCGGCUCUCGAUUAUCCAGUUUAUGGGUCAUCAGCUAUCGGAUAUUUGGAUGGUAAGAGCUCAUCGAGCAUUCGGAUCUAAAUUGAAUAAGCAUUCGAAUAUUCGAAUCUAAAUUAAAUAAGCAUUCAAGUACCAUCUAUUCGGAUUUAUUUGGAUACUCGAAUCUUGAAUAAGUUUCGUACCGAUUAAACGGAUAAGAAUUAUAAUUGAUGACCAUCUUGAAAAUCUCGCAAUUUAUAUCACGAGCCAGAUUUGUAAAAUUUCAAAUUUUCCCGCCGAUUCUUCCUUUACGACAUAUGCUCUUAAUGAUUUGUAAAUUAUAAUACGUGUAUCUCCGUCGCAUUUUAUUAUCUAAGGAAUAAAACGUAUCUUAACGUGAUCGCGUAAUUUUCCCCAGAUUAGAAUUUUCAAGAGAUUUCCUCGUUAGACUCGGCAAACUUUGUAUCCGCCACGAGUAAGACCGAACUAACCAGGCCAGUUAAUAAGAAGUUGACUAGAGGAAACAAAAAGAGGGAGAAGGAUGUGAGGAAGAAAGUUUACACGGAACUUUCGACGCAUAAUUACGAACGCAACGGCAACGAACGAACGAAAUUUAAUUCCAGAAUCGAGAAACGAAUUUGUAAUUGGAGCGCUGAUUACCGUGGCUAUUUCCUUCCAGUUACAGUUUCAGGCGAUCACGUUCUCAAAUGUACCGAACGGUUCUUCCCAACCGUGUUUCUUCUCAAACAAUUUAACGCAAUUCUCUAUUUUUUAUUUAUUUCUUAUUUCUCUAACAAACAUAAUACAAUCGAAUCUCGAUAAUUGGAAUAUUUCUACAACACUGUUUAUACAGUUUCAUUCAUUCUCUUUUCGUUUCGUUACGAAAAUAAAAACUCACUUUAAUUCGAAUUUAUAGAAAAUAUUUCUAUAAAACACAACGCAAGUUACUCUCAAGAGUUAUUAUUAUUUAAGAUUUACUUUUCGUAAAUAUCCCUUUCGCUCGAAAAUUUCGAUAAUUCGAAAGCUCUAUAUACCUUUUCCCUUUAAUUAACUUCAAAUUACCAAGAUUCAACAUAAUUCGCAUUCGAUGUAAUUAACAAGACUCGUUGAAUUAAACUUUUCAGUUUACGUAUCAAAUGGCAAAAAAAGAGAAGAAAAGAAGGAAUCUUUUCAUUAUCGGUACAAUUCCACAGAAAGGAACGCGUUUUUUUCCUUCUCUUCGCCGAGAAUGAAGCGUGAAACGCCGAGGCUACUUUCUUCGCCGUAAUUUCAAGGUUGUCUGGCGUGUAACAGCAUAGAUAAAUUCUUUUUCUUUCGGUAUGUCCGCGGGCGUGAACGACGUGGCGUUGGUCCGUUCGCGUCGUCGAAUUAGUUUUCAGGUAGACUGGGACAAGAUUGUAACGGUACCGAGGCUCGAUCCGCGGGGCAGGAUGGGAUGGAAUGGCGUGGAGUUACAAGGCGGCGCGGGCGGUUCAGUGACCGACCGACCGACCGAUCGACUGUACCACGUCUGGAGAAAGAGCAAGGCGAAAAAGGAGGAGGGACAACGAGAGACACAGAAGGGUUCCCCGGAUACUUUGUUUCAGAAGUGGUACUCGUCUCGCUACUUGCGGUCUCGUAACUCGAUUCUUAAGCGGAUAUCGUUUGCACCAGGAGGACGCACCGAUGACAAAGAGGAGGGACGCCGCUACUAUCGUAGAUUAACGCCGACGAGAUCCCUCGCAUCGUUCACGGACACGAGCUUUCGCCAUACUUCUCGUCACGCAGGGAACACAGGGAUUUUUGAUGUUAAGAAGGAACGAGGUUUGAAAAGUUUGGUGAAUAAAUGUGAGUUCAAUUUCGAUCAGUUGUUUAUCGCGGGAGUUUGUUUAUUAGUGACUCGAUUAGAUAUAAUUGAGGAUCUUGAAGGCACGAAAAUUGGGUAAGUACGGAUCUCGAAUGUGAGAAAUUGAAUAGAAUCGAGUCUCUUGGAUUAUAGGUGAUUCUUCUUUUAUAUCGAUAAUCAUUUAGAGUAGAGAAUUGAAAAUUAUAAUAAAAUAAGUACAUUUAUUAAUUAAUGCGAUCUUUAAAAAGAUAGGCUUGAUUUCUGCACCAAGAUUUUCAAUUUUUUAUAAUUCUAAUAGCGCAUUUUAUUGAACAAAUUUUAAAUCUAUUGAAGAAGAUUGAAGAUUUUAUAUAUUUUUCUGCUCCUGCGGAAAAAGAGGAAAAUUGGCUAGGUUUUUGAUAUGAACUCUUCGAUUGUUCUUUGCACAUGGAGAAUUUUCCAUUCUAAAGAAUUUAGUAAUUCAAAGUAUUUUUUCUACAAAGUUAAUGAAAGCUUUUAAAAUUAAUAUUAAAAAUACGUUUCAUAUUUUAUAUCAACGAACAUAUUGCUUUUAUUUCAUUAUAUAAAUCUCGAUAUAAGUUUUAUAAGAAUUUAUUAUACGAGUGGAAUUAUAUGUGUUUCGAUUCUACGAAGAAGGGAAUACUUUGAGAUAUGAAGAAUUAUACGCAUUAUUGAAUAUUCCAAUUUAUAAGCAAUUAGGAAAAGAAAGAAUGAGAAAAUUAGUUUCUCAAUUCCUAAAAAGAAAAAAAGGAAAAAAUAUGACUUUUAAGAAAACCAGUGGUUAUAUUCAUCCAUUAAUUUUAUCUUUGAAUCUAUAUUCGAAUUCUUAUUAAUAAUAGAUAUCUCUCUCAGUGCAAAAUCUCAACUUCUUGAAAGAUACUUGCAUAAAAAAAAUGUACAUCAUAUGUCUCUGUCGAUUCUUUUAAUUAUUUACCUGAAUAGUUCUACGUGCGCAUCAAUACAUGACCCAACACAAUCAAUAUCGAUAUUAAUCAACGAGAUAUUGCAACGAUGACUCGAUACAUUUCGAUGAUGCAAGCGGAGAAGAGAAGGUAUCGUCAGAAAUCUGAAAACCUCCAAGAUUUUCCCGUCUAAAUCAUCACUCAGCGAUCAGGAUUGCAUUCGAUUCCGUUGUUUCAUCGCAAUUUUCGUAAGGACACUUCUCUCCACGAUACAAAACGUUGGCGCCAUCCCUCCCUCUUGCAUCAACCGAUUCACCUAUGCGUGCACACCGAACUAACGCUAGCCCCUUGCUCGGCUGAAUAAAUUACACAAUUUCCCUUCUCGUUCCAGUUCCUAUUACUAUAUCGCUUGCUCUCCUCCCCCUUUGCCGAUCCUCAAUGUUUCCUCCUUCUCGAGCAUUGUGUUUCGCUCUCUGGGGAGAUCCAUGAGGCAAAUAGAAACGACAAACGACAUGUUCGCGCCGAGAUCCAUCGAAAUCGGAUCUCUUUCGUUUGUCGUUCGAAUGUACCAUUUGCUUUUUCUCUUCUUUUAAUGAUUUUAGUUUGUACAAUUCUUUUUUUGUACACAACUGUUCAAUGAUAAUUAUUUUAAUGUAAGAAUGUAAGAAACGUAAAGAACAUUGACGGAACAGAUAACAAUUGGCACGGAGCAACGUAUAAAUAAUAAUCAUUUUGUAUUUUAAAUUACAUAAACUAAUUAAUUUAAAAAGAAAUUAAUCGUUCACAAUCAAAAGUAGCAUAACUCUAGAUUGAUAGAUACAAUUUUAAUUGUAAACGUUUUAAUUUUUGUAUUAUAAGUAUUAUUCAUAAUAUUAUUUAUAAGAAAAUGUUAUCAUAAUUUGCUAAUGUUUCCAUGAGUUACGAUAAUAUUAGAAAAAUAAAUUGAUAAUCAAUAUUGAGCGCUCGGAAGUGUGACUACGAACGAAUCUGUUUCACUUUCAACUUCUUGUGUUUCAGUGAAAUGGACGACGAGAAAGUUUAAAAAUCCAAUUUUUAAUUAAACUUUUUCGAACAAGAUUGAUUAGUAUUUCUUAUAUAUAUAUAUAUCUCUUUUAUUCCAAUAAUUUAUAUAAUAAAGAAUUCUUCAACCCUUUUUCGUCAUUCAACUGACUAUUUCUGAAAAGGAAACGAAUCUCAUCGCGGACGCAGCGCACGAUAUCUUACUAACACCUACUUGAAGAGCGCAAAGGAAGGUCAGUCUAUUAAUAGAGAAACCUGGGAUCAUCGGGCUCUCGACCAUCGAGAGUUCUAUCGUUGUCUUACAUAAUGGAAUAUUGCGCCGGCUCAUUUAAGACGAGACUAUCGGUUGUCCAAGACUAUCGGAUGAAUCCUCAUAAAUGCCUAUGAUAUAUAACUUUUUUCGUGUGAAAGAGAAGAACUUGACACUAAAAUACCGAUUCCAUUUCUUAUUUCAAAAUAAAAUGUAAACGAAAACAUCAAAAUUUAUUAUAUUUUGUAACUAAUUCAAUAAUUACUCUAUUACAGCAGAACUAUAUUUUGAGAAAAAUAAUGUUACAAUAAUAAAUUAUUAUUUACAACAAAAUUAAGAAAAAAUGGUUUUUAUUAUAAAAAUUAAGAAAGAUAAAGAUUCGUUCGUUAUUUUAAAAAGCUAUCAAAUCGCACAAAUUUUUUAAUAUAUAAAGAAAUGUGCAAAUAAUUUUCAAUUUUAUUCUUUUGCGUUUUAAUGCCAAUUGUGGAUUUCCAAAUAUUAUAUAAGUACUAUUGCCAAAUUUGUAAUGUUCUCAUCGCUUUCUAAUUUCUUAAGUAUUUCUAAUUUCGUUUCAAUAAUUAACACGUAAAUAGAAGUUUCGAUGUAUUGUAUACGUGUAUAUAUAUAUCCAUUUCAUAAACGUAUCCAGCAUCAAUUCUAAAUUAAAUUCUAUUUCCAUUGCUGUGAUAAGGAAAAGCAUCUUUUAUUAUGCAUAAAGAUAAUAAAUAAAAUAAUAAGAUAGAUAAUAGAAAAUGUAUAGUUCAGAUAACAUAUUUGAUCAAUAAAGAUUCCAUUGUACUCCAAAAAUGAAGAUGAAUAAAAAUCAAUUUCUUGUAUUUAUAUUUUGACAUAUAUAUAUAUAUAUAUAUAUAAAUAGUAUAUAAAAAGAAAGAAAAUGGAAUUUACAGUAAGAUUCUUUUAACAAGGUGUCGCUAGCACUUGCAUCGCUCUCGCGACUUUAUCGCUAACGCACCAAAGAAAACCGAGCUAUGAGAAGCUGUCAGCAGAGGGAACGAGGAGUUAGUGGAUAGAGUGUGAAUCAAAAGAAGUGGGGAUAGUGAGAAUGCUGCAAGCACGCUAGUAACUUCGGUCGGUCGUGAAAGUGCCGUAAGUCACGUUUUAACGAGCGCCCGAUUUAUACCGUCGCCGUUCCACUAACCUCGCAACGUCGACACGCUCUCGUACGAAAAAGCUGCUAAAUUGACGCGUACGGAAUUCGAGAAUAAAUAUCGUCGAUCAUUUCGAAUCGAUAUCGUAGUGCGUUCCGUCUAUUUAUGUGUCGUUUCGAUAGAUGAAAGUACAUAUAGUUAACAUCGAUGUGUUUACGAAUUACUCACAUUUAAUAAAUUUAUUUAGAUUAACCAAUAUAGUGGUCGAAUUUUUAUUAUUUAUUAUGUGACGAAUGUAAUUCAUAUACUUUAACAUUAAAUGAUAAUUCAGACAAAAGAUUUAUUUAUUUAUAAAAGGAUAUUUAUUCUUGGAUUUUUCUUUCGAAAUUAUAAUUUUAUUUAAAGAAUCUAUUUGAUGAGAAACUCAUUUCUUAUUCAAAAGGUAUAUACAUAUAUAUAUACAGUUAUUAUUUUACACGAGAUUUAUUGGUUUCAUUUUAAUUUAAAAUUAUUUAUUUGUUCAUCGAUUUACUUUCGAAGUGAAUCGCAUUUUUUCUUUCGAUUAUGCUUCAUUCGUAUUCUGGGAGAAUCACGAGCAUACUUUGUUCCCACCAUUGGUAAACGCACGUGUUCGCGUAGAUAUGCAAAUCGAUAUUACCCGCGUCGCUAUGUAGCAUCUAAUUGUCUGUCAUAAGCAUAUAAUCGUGUUCUCCAUGCAGGUUUCUGUACAUGUUUUAACCUGCUUGUGUACGUAUGCCUAUUCGUACGUGUUAGACAUAUCUGUUAUGCCUGCAUUUACUAAUCGCACGUUACAUUUGUACCUCUAUAUGAUUAUAAGAAUUUCUGGAUAUACGAACGAUAUAUACGUAAUCAAAAUCUAUAAAUGAUCUUUUAUGCACAAUAAAAAAAAUAUAUUAUAAAAAAAAUAUUAAAAUGACACAUUUACGAAAAAUAUUUAAACAUAAUUUAUUAAUUUUAAGGUAUGAUUGGAUAUAUUUAAAGUAUAUUAUUUUUUAAGUAAUAAAUUCAAUUUAAUAUAUUUAUAAAUAUAAGAUAAGAUACUUAUUUUAAAUUAUUACGUAAAUAAUGAGAAUAUAUGUAUUAUAUAUUUGUUUCUAUUGUUAAAAAUAAAAAUACAAACAAUUUAUAUUAUAUAAUAUAUAAUUUAAUAUGAAAAAUCGUCUUAUAUUUCUUAUAAUUAAAGACGAGGCUUUGAAUCGUGCAAUGCGCGAUGUAUAUCUCUUUGUAUAUAAACGUGUUUACCCGUAUCUAGAUACAUUCACAUAUAUUUCUCCAGAAUCGCAUUUCAGACGUACGAGGUGACAGUUUUCGUCGGAAUAACAAGGUAACAAACUUUUAAUGAACGUGUUCUACGCAUUAUUCGUAAGUACGCGUAUUAUUUUCAUGCAAAUAUCAGUAAAGUGUCAUAUGAGUAACAUAAAUAGCACUUGGAUGAGCGAUCAAUCAAAACUGUCGUAAACUUCUAUUCACUUCUUUCUCCGUUAGUUGUUACUUUCAGAUGCUUCAGAAAGCUUUCUUUUAUUGUAAUGGAAUGAUAUACACAUGUACACUUAAAUACAUUAUACGUAAUUUAUUACUUAUUUUAUUAGCAGUAUUUUAAAACAAUUUAUAAAAGAAAUUUUAUUGCAAAAGAUAACA